AGUCAACAUGCCCAGGGGACGUGGAUAACCUCGGGAAACUGAGGAUAAACCGCGAUAGGUCAUAGUAUCUGGAAUGAUUUAUGGCUUAAAUCUAUAUGGCCCCUGGAUUGGACUGCGGCCGAUCAGGCUGUUGGUGAGGUAAUGGCCCACCAAACCUUAAAACCGGUACGGGCUUCUUGAGAGGAGAAGCCCGGAGAUGGGCACUGAGACAAGGGCCCAGGCCCUAUGGGGCGCAGCAGGCGCGAAAACUCUGCAAUAAGCGAAAGCUUGACAGGGUUAUUCUGAGUGAUUUCCGCUAAGGAAAUCUUUUGGCACCUCUAAAAAUGGUGCAGAAUAAGGGGUGGGCAAGCCUGGUGUCAGCCGCCGCGGUAAUACCAGCACCCCGAGUGGUCGGGACGAUUAUUGGGCCUAAAGCAUCCGUAGCCGGUUCUACAAGUCUUCCGUUAAAUCCACCUGCUCAACAGUUGGGCUGCGGAGGAUACUAUAGAGCUAGGAGGCGGGAGAGGCAAGCCGGUACUCAGUGGGUAGGGGUAAAAUCCGUUGAUCCAUUGAAGACCACCAGUGGCGAAGGCGGCUUGCCAGAACGCACUCGACGGUGAGGGAUGAAAGCUGGGGGAGCAAACCGGAUUAGAUACCCGGGUAGUCCCAGCUGUAAACGAUGCAGACUCGGUGAUGAAUAGGCUUCGUGCCUAUUCAGUGCCGCAGGGAAGCCGUUAAGUCUGCCGCCUGGGGAGUACGGUCGCAAGACUGAAACUUAA
rnacentral:rRNA from 1 species